UACGAAGGGGCUAGCGUUGCUCGGAAUCACUGGGCGUAAAGCGCACGUAGGCGGAUUGCUAAGUCAGGGGUGAAAUCCUGGAGCUCAACUCCAGAACUGCCUUUGAUACUGGCGAUCUCGAGUCCGGGAGAGGUGAGUGGAACUGCGAAGUGUAGAGGUGAAAUUCGUAGAUAUUCGCAAGAACACCAGUGGCGGAAGGCGGAUGCUCUGGGCCGGAACUGAACGCUG
rnacentral:rRNA from 1 species